rnacentral:rRNA from 1 species
AUGACUGGUGGUGGCCAACGCGACCAACGUUUUCAUGACGCUGCUCAAGCACGGAUCCCCCACCAUGCAAAUCAGGCCGACACGCUUAAGCUGGUGGUGGCGGAUGCGAGGCUCCAGCGCGACGUUCCAGUGCGACGGCCGCAGAGGAAGGACCUCUACGAGGUGCUUGAGGUCGGCCGCUCCGCCACCGACGAGGAGAUCAAGAAGGCCUUCCAUCGCAUGGCGCUCAAGUACCAUCCGGACAAGAAUGGCGAUGACCCAGUGGCCUUUGACAUCUUCCUGGAAAUCCAAUUCGCCCACAGCAUUCUGUCAGAUCCCAGUAAAAGGCGGCAGUAUGACAAAUCAGGAUUCGAGGCUAUUGAAUCUGAUAGACCGAAAUCCGACCUGGACCUAUCGAAUCUUAGUCCAGCCAGCACCAUGUUUGUGGCCCUGUUGAGUAAAUUUGGUGUGCCGAUUAAGACAACUGUUCCAGUAGCCGUUUUGAAGGAGGCUUUGGAUAGGUCCGUUAAGGUUUUUCAGCUCCAGCUAGGACAAUCUGAACGCAGGAAGGUGGAAAAGCUAUCAGCCAAUUAUUAUGCCGUGGACAUAACAGAACGGGAUGCUAAGGCGGGGUUAGUUUGCCGCGUGCACUCACCCGAUGGAAGCAAAUUUAAGUUGCUUUAUUUCACGUGCGAAGAAAAUGGAGGUCUCGACCUUGCACUGAAGGAGGACAGUGUGGACACCGGAAACGGUACUUCAGCCGGGAUGUACUUUCUUGGGUUUCCUGUGUAUCGAUUUCAGCAUAAUUACUCGCCAGCUGUUAUAAAGAAUUCACACACGGUAUUGCUUAAAAUGUUGGAUAGCUUCCAAUCAUGUGAUGUUAAUGAACUGACACCUGGAACCCACUACUUCGCUGUCUAUGGUGACAAUUUCUUCCGUCCUGCAAGCUAUAUCAUCGAGUUUAUGUGUGGUCAAUCUUUCUCUGCUGAAAAGGAGAAGCUGAAAAACGUCGAAGCAAUGAUACUCGCAAAACAAGCUGCAUAUAGGGAAGUUUCACCAAAUCUCACUGAGAUGAAAAGAGGAUACACCAAAGAUAUGCCAACGAUCGACGAGCUUCUCAAGGAAAGGAAUGAGAUCCAUGCAUCCUUUAGUACCAACAAUUCACCUCCGACAAUGCAAAAGAAAGCGAAGGAUCAUCCAACGGAGGGCGAGCAUGACAAUUCAGGUGAUAAGAAAACUAACGGGAAAAAAAGAUUGUUUCCAAGCUUCCUUUAA